rnacentral:lncRNA from 1 species
AAAAAGCAUGCUGAUCUGAACUCUGGAAGAGAACCUUUGUCAAUCAAUAUCUAGCGUUGUCCCAGGAAGAGAGAUUCAAUGUGUAGCAGACACUGGAAAGCCUACCUUAUAUAAGUGCAAGGGGAUCUGCGCUGACCCUGCCCCAUUUAUUCAAGGUCCUGGUACUUAAGGAAUACCUUUCAGAAGGAUGGAUGAAUAUGAAGAAACUAAGGAGCAAAGGAAUCAAAGAUUUCUUCCAGUCCACUCGGGAAGUUAGCUGCAUAGUUAGAAAUAGAACUCUAAACUCCUGGCCUGUUUUCCAAACCACAGAUAUGCUUGGUUUAUGCAGGUUUCGUCUGCUGCCCGCUUAGUGCUGAAGUCACUUCCUGCUGCUGUUGGCACAUCUGCUCCCGCAGCUGAGCUUUUUCUGAAGGGAACCCUGACAUUAAUAAGAUUCUCAAGCGGAUCUGGAGAAGGGCAGAGGGAGAAAGAGGGAACGAGAGAAGGAGAAGAAACAAUCACUGAUCUAGUUUCAUGAACUUCAGUGCAGGUGAGAAGGAGAGGGCAGAGAAUUUGGGAAGGAGUGCAGGAAUCACAAGCCAGCUGCAUUCUUCACAAGAGGUCAGUAGAAACACUAAGCACUCAACAUACUAACCACACUCUUUAGUUAGAAUACAUAUGUACAUGUGCACAUUCAAGACACAGAAAUAACUAGGAAGGUGGAGGGUUUCUUUUGCUGUAGUUGAGGUUGCUCUUAAGUGUUUUUUGUCAUGAGACAAAAGAGGUCAUCAUGCCUUGUGAUAACCACAAGGCAUGAUCAUUUUCCCAACUGCCACUUAUUCAAGCAGUGGCUUUUUUAAACAGACUGGGUAGCUGUCCCAGAAAAUUCUGGAUUCUGUAGAUUUUUUUUCAAUCUGUUUCCAUGCCCUAUAACCUAUAAAUUACAUAUGAAGGCUUGGUUAGAUUCAGGGCUAAAAUUUGUGGCAUGGAUGCUUCAAGGUGGUACUGUGUGCUUCAUAUUACAUCCCAUCAGAAAGUAAAUAAUACCCAUUUGCCCUGCUUUCAAUAGUGCUAAGACUCAUCAACAGAUUCAGGUGGUGACUGCCUGAUCCCUGGUUGUAAAGUUGUUGUAUGACCCUUUGGCACCCUCGGAAUGUCCAGCUCCUCAUUAAUAUUUUACUUUUUAGUCUUAGCAGCCAUUGAUACUCAUUUCCUAAAUCAGUGAUUUCGCUACAUGUUGUAAAAUGGUGAUUUUUCUAUCAUCCUUUCUACAUUUAUUUGAAUACUUCUGUCAGAAUAGCUCUCUCUCAUCAACUAUUUUGUGACUUACAAAUAGAGUUUUCACAGAAAAUGCAGAUCAAGACUUAAUUCUUUCCUGUUAAUUAUUAAUUUUCAGAGUACGAAGUUGAUGGACUACCUCCAGCUGUGACAAAUGAGUUGUGUUUGUUACUUUGGCUUUCUCUUUGGGGUAUUACAAAUUCAUGAAUUUUUAUUUAAUUAGUGAGUUUCAAUAAAUUGCCAUCAUUAUUCUUUUUGAUGGUGAAAUUGUCCACCAUUGGCCAGUGGUCAGCUUCCUUACUUCCCAGCAUAAUAAGGUGAUUCAUUUUCGGUUUGUCAUUUCCCACCCCACCCCUGGAACCAGUUAUUCCUCCAAGAACUACUUGUUUUUAGUAAAGAAUAGUAUUCAGAGCCCAUCGUGUAGGUAUUAACACUCUCGUGUGACUGGAUUCUUACUAUUUCUGGGUUUUUUAAAAAACAUUUUAAAGACAUUAAGAACUUAUAUUUAUAUCCCAAAUAUGUUUGAAUAUUUUACAUAUCAAAUUCAAGUUUCAAUUUCAAUAUUCAAUUAGUUCACUUUCAAAUUUAAUAAAAAACAACCCAAGUUUUUCUUUUAAAUUUUAUACUCGUGGCCAGGUGCAGUGGCUCACUCCUGUAAUCCCAGCACUUUGGGAGGCUGGGUCAGGCGGAUCACCAGGUCAAGAGAUCGAGACCAUCCUGGCCAACAUGGUGAAACCCCGUCUCUACUAAAAAUACAAAAAUUAGCUGGGUGCAGUGGUGUGUGCCUGUAGUCCCAGCUACUCGGGAGGCUGAGGCAGAAGAAUCACUUGAACCCGGGAGGUGGAGGUUGCAGUGAGCUGAGAUCACACCACUGCACUCCAGCCUAGCGAUAGAGCCAGACUCCACGUCAAACAAAAAAAAAAAGAAGAAUUUAGGCUGGGCACGGUGGCUUAUGCCUGUAAUCCCAGCACUUUGGGAGGCAGAGGAGGGCGGAUCAUGAAGUCAGGAGAUCGAGACCAUCCUGGCUAACACAGUGAAACCCCGUCUCUACUAAAAAUACAAAAAAUUAGCCGGGAAUGGUGGCGGGUGCCUGUAGUCCCAGCUACUUGGGAGGCUGAGGUAGGAGAAUGGCGUGAACCUGGGAGGCAGAGCUUGCACUGAGCUGAGAUCAUGCCACUGCACUCCAGCCUGGGAGACAGAGCAAGACUCCGUCUCAAAAAAAAAAAAAGAAAUUUAUACUCAUUAUCUCCUUUCUCUUACAGUGAAAAUUAUGAUUUCUAAAAAUAUCAACAUUAAUUUUUUAUUUACAAGUAUAGUAUACAUGUCUCAAAAUAGAAAUAUAAUAUAGUUUAUU